rnacentral:rRNA from 1 species
CGCCUUGCCAGCCCGCUCAGAAACUCAAAGGAAUUGACGGGGGCCCGCACAAGCGGUGGAGCAUGUGGUUUAAUUCGAUGAUACGCGAGGAACCUUACCUGGGCUCAAAUGUAUGUUGACGUUAUUCUGAAAGGGAUACUUCUUCGGACAAUAUACAAGGUGCUGCAUGGUUGUCGUCAGCUCGUGCCGUGAGGUGUCGGGUUAAGUCCCAUAACGAGCGCAACCCCUAUCAUUAGUUGCCAUCAGGUCAAGCUGGGGACUCUAAUGAAACUGCCUACGCAAGUAGUGAGGAAGGUGGGGAUGACGUCAAAUCAGCACGGCCCUUACGUCCAGGGCUACACACGUGCUACAAUGGCCGGUACAAAGGGCAGCUACCUGGUGACAGGAUGCUAAUCUCCAAAGUCGGUCUCAGUUCGGAUCGGAGUCUGCAACCCGACUCCGUGAAGUUGGAUUCGCUAGUAAUCGCGCAUCAGCCACGGCGCGGUGAAUACGUUCCCGGGCCUU